AUUGAACGCUGGCGGCAGGCUUAACACAUGCAAGUCGAGCGGAGCGGCGGACGGGUGAGUAAUGCUUAGGAAUCUGCCUGGUAGUGGGGGAUAACGUCCGGAAACGGGCGCUAAUACAGAAUACUAUCAGAUGAGCCUAGGUGGGAUUAGCUAGUUGGUGGGGUAAAGGCAGACCAAGGCGACGAGCCGUACCUGGUAUGGGAGGAUGAUCAGUCACACUGGAACGUAGACACGGUCCAGACUCCUACGUGAGGCAGCAGGGGGGAAUAUUGGACAAUGGGCGAAAGCCUGCUCCAGCCAUGCCGCGUGUGUGAAGAAGGUCUUCGGAUUGUAAAGCACUUUAAGUUGGGAGGCGUUACCAACAGAAUAAGCACCGGCUAACUUCGUGCCAGCAGCCGCGGUAAUUC
rnacentral:rRNA from 1 species